rnacentral:tRNA from 1 species
GUUCUUGUAGUUAAAUUUUUAUAACAGCGGCUUUUCAGGCCGCGGGUCUCGGAGAGAGUCCGGGCAGGAAUA